rnacentral:rRNA from 1 species
CAUGAUUGAAGCUUGCUUCAAUUGAUGGCGACCGGCGCACGGGUGAGUAACGCGUAUCCAACCUUCCGUACACUCAGGGAUAGCCUUUCGAAAGAAAGAUUAAUACCUGAUGGUAUCUUAAGCGCACAUGCAAAUAAGAUUAAAGAUUUAUCGGUAAGCGAUGGGGAUGCGUUCCAUUAGAUAGUAGGCGGGGUAACGGCCCACCUAGUCGACGAUGGAUAGGGGUUCUGAGAGGAAGGUCCCCACAUUGGAACUGAGACACGGUCCAAACUCC